AGAUCAGCUACAUGGUCGGCCAUCCUAUUAACAUUUGUAUAGGACUUGGCCCUUGUUUCCAAUAGAACACAAACAACUCCAAACUUGCCUAUUUUGAAAGAUUAUUUAAUUCCUUACAGUUAAUAGAGGAUCUAAAUUUUUUGUUGUCAAAGCUAAAUUUUGUUCGAUAAAUCACUCAAAGAAGUUAGAGAGCUCUUAAGAAGAGAGGAAUGAAAAAUAUAAAUAAUUCGGCCCAUUAGCUGGGUUAUCAAAUGGACUAAGCUUGGGUAUAUAAAGGGAAAUUUUAAUUUUUUUUCUGGCCUAUGCCUUGUGACACGGGUAAAUCCUACUGGUUAUUGGAUCAAUCAUGUGUUAUUAUGUUCAUCUAAACUUCUGACUUGAUCGCAAAAUAUGUACUAAUCAGGUUGAAAACUUGUAAACUUAACCUGGUUUUGUAUCAUACAUGAGGUCUUGUAAUUAAAUUACUUAAUGUAAGCUUACCAAUAAUGAUUAGAAAAUCAAGACGUUCACAACGUUAAUGAUAGAAACCUUGCAUUAUUUGAGUUUUUGAUUAAUUUAAUCACAUUAUUUUGGAUUAAUGUGUUAGUUAUACAUUUUAAUUAUCAGUAGUGCUUGUGCAUGCAUGCAAGAUAAAAGCAACAUAGAGACAUGAACUCCUCCUCCUCCUCUACCUCCUGUUUUGUCUCUCUUCCCUUGUGGUUAUCGCAGAUACCCACAUUCCGAGUGAGGCUAGGCUGGACAAGACGGUUUGCCUGCAUGGGUGAAAGCCGGAGCCUGACAUUUUCUACAAGAUAAACUACAAUCAGAUGUUGUGGUGUCGACUGAUGGGACAGGGGAUUAUCAAAAGAUAAUAGAUGCAGUGGAAGCUACCCUCAACAACAGCGGAUGUGGGUAUGUCACCCAUGUGAAGAAGAGCCUGUACUUGGACAUUGUCAAAGUCAAUUCGAGCAAAUUGAACUUGAUGUUGAUCAGAGAUGGAAGUAACAACACCAUCAUCUCCGAUGUGGUAUUAGGGGAUACCAGGACACCUUCUGCACUCACUCCCAGCACCAGCUCUACCAUGAGUGUUGCAUCAUUGGCACCAUCGAAUUCAUCUUUGGCGAUGGGACUGCAGUAUUCUAGAAUUACGAGAUCUUGGCCAAGAUGGGCCGCUCGGAACAAAAGAACAUGAACACCGCCCACAAUUGCAAGAGCUUCAACGAAACCAUUGGCUUCUCCUUCCAAUUUUGCAACAUUUCUGCUGACUUGGACCUGAUUGCUUUUGAUUACUCCAACCUGACUUACUUGGGCUGACCAUGGCACUGCUACUCACAGACCGUCUUCAUGCAGUCUCAUAUCAGUAGCGCCAUCAGUUCUGAAGAGUUGCUGGAGUGGGAGGAGUAGGGAGAUUUUGACAACACACUCUUCUAUGCAGAGUACACAAAUUGGGGGUCAGGGCCUGACCUGAAAAAGAGGGUCAAGUGGCCUGGAUUCCAUACCAUCAGCUCCACUCAAGCCGACAUAUUUAUUGUUGCUAAAUUCAUUGAUGGCAAAUCAUGGUUACCUUCCACCAUUGUUAAUUAUACAUCCUAUUUGACCGCAUAAUAAUAAUAAUAAUAACAACAAUAGGUGUGGCCAUUAUUUAUAACCA